UCAACUACGUGUAAUACCUCCUCUCCCACUGAAAACCUCAUUCCAAAAAAGGCAUUCUCCCAAUACCUAGUAUUUGUGUGAAAACUAUAGCUAGUAUUUAGUUAGGGCUGACUUAUAAUAGUCCACUUCUAAGUGCGAUUUAAUGCGGCAUUUUUGAUGUGUGUGUAUGUUGUAAUAUUAUUAUACAAAUGAAGAAAUGUAGGCACUAAGAAAUUAGAAUAGCACAGUGUCCAACACAGUUGCCUGUCGGAAUGAGUAUCAGGUCCCAGGAUAAAUGUACAAUAUCUGAAGGAGGAAGCGUCGAUGGGGAAGUGAAAAGUCCAGUAAAAUGUUGAGUGGCUCGCGCCGGGGGUGGGGGAGGGAUUGACAAAGAUUAAGUGUUAUUUGGGCGCGGAUCUUGUGUGGUGGAACCAUUUUAGGUUCUUCAAAGUCAGCAAAGAAACUGGGUACAAAGACUCAUUCUCCUAAUCCUUGCACCUGAAGGUAGGAGGAGUAUGUUGUGUUGGACUGUGGCAGCCUGUAACCAGGGUUUCUAGGACGAUCCUGCCCGCCACCUCCCAACCAAAAACAAAACAAAACAAACAAAAAACCUACAGGAGGUUACAGAUUUUCAAAACUAGAGACAUGGGGUCAAAUUAGAAUUUUAGAAGAUCACUGGGGAACAGAAUACUUGAAAGGCAUUUUGGGAGAAAUGAGGAGACAAUGGUGGUCAGAACUCCAGUAGUGAUUUGAGAAUGGAGAGAGACCAAUUUGAAGUUUCAGGAAGCAGACUCAGAAGACUUUGGUGCUCUAGCAAGCCAGAAGAGGGCAUUGGAUUUCCUGGAACUGGACUUACAGUCAAUUGAAAGCCACCAUGUGGGUAUUAUGAACCAAACCUUGGUCCUCCUCAAGAGCAGCAAAGGCUUUUAAUCCCUAAGCCAUCUCUAAGUCGCCAUGGUAAAUAAAAAUUAUUAAAGGGCCAGAACUUUAUAUUUGUUUAUAUUCUAUCAAAUUGACUAAGACUUACAUUAGAUUCAUUAUAUCCACUCAUUCAUUCCACCCUCAAACUUUUACUGCCUGUCUUUCCCCGUUUAAAGAACUGUAAUUUCUUAGUUUACACGACAGCUCUGUUCUUCUGUCUGCACUUAAUGGUUCCUAGAUCCUUUAUAGCUUCUUUCAUCUUUCUUAAAUGCUGGACGUGUGAAUUACACACCUGCAAAGUGACACUGGAUGCUACUCAGUCUUUAUGCCCCUUGAGGGUAGACAGCUAUACCCAUUGGCAGAUGGCUACACUAUCUGGUCUUGUUAGCCAUUUUCGGCUCAGGUAAGCUGGUGGGUGUUCCUACUCAGUUGCCAUAUGUAAAGCACCAUUCAUUUCAGCCGUGUCAAGUCAGCAUACCGUAACACAUAUGAAAGUGUGUAUGAUAGGUUUGGGGCAGCUGGCUUGAAUUUUGUUUCUACAUUAAAACAUACUCUUUAAGUUUUAAAACUUCUGACUUUGCAGAAGGGAAUACGCACAGGGAAGGCCUCAAGGAAGAGGGCAGCAAUAAAGGGUAAUUUUAAAAAAGACAAAACACUGCAUGUUUUCUGUUACAUGCAAAAGUCUAGGUUUAAACAUGUGACAUGAAACAGAAGGGACUCCAUUUGGAGAGGAAGGGAGCCCGUGACGGGGACUGAAAAGGACAGAUGCAUGCUUGUUAGGACGGUGCCAGAAUGAGGGCACUGGAAAAUGGCUCAGUGGUUAUGAGCACUCCGAGGUC